CUGCGGCAGCACAUAUUACUAAAAUUGUAAACAAUACAGAGAAGACUAGCAUGGCCCUUGCACAAGGAUGACGCACCUGCAGUGGAAAUUCCCCCGUGAAGCGUUCCCAUUUUAA
rnacentral:snRNA from 1 species